UACGAAGGGUGCAAGCGUUACUCGGAAUUACUGGGCGUAAAGCGUGCGUAGGUGGUUUGUUAAGUCUGAUGUGAAAUCCCUCGGCUUAACCGGGGAACUGCGUCUGAUACUGGAUGGCUUGAGAUUGGGAGAGGGAUGCGGAAUUCCAGGUGUAGCGGUGAAAUGCGUAGAUAUCUGGAGGAACACCGGUGGCGAAGGCGGCAUCCUGGACCAACACUGACGCUGAGGAGCGAAAGCGUGGGGAGCGAACAGG
rnacentral:rRNA from 1 species